GACGAACGCUGGCGGCGUGCCUAAUACAUGCAAGUCGAGCGCAGGAAGUCAUCCGAACCCUUCGGGGGGACGUUGACGGAAUGAGCGGCGGACGGGUGAGUAACACGUAAAGAACCUGCCCUCAGGUCUGGGAUAACCACGAGAAAUCGGGGCUAAUACCGGAUGGGUCAUCGGACCGCAUGGUCCGAGGAUGAAAGGCGCUCCGGCGUCGCCUGGGGAUGGCUUUGCGGUGCAUUAGCUAGUUGGUGGGGUAAUGGCCCACCAAGGCGACGACGCAUAGCCGACCUGAGAGGGUGAUCGGCCACACUGGGACUGAGACACGGCCCAGACUCCUACGGGAGGCAGCAGUAGGGAAUCUUCCACAAUGGACGAAAGUCUGAUGGAGCAACGCCGCGUGAACGAUGAAGGCCCUCGGGUCGGAAAGUUCUGUUGUAAGGGAAGAACAAGUGCCGCAGGCAAUGGCGGCACCUUGACGGUACCUUGCGAGAAAGCCACGGCUAACUACG
rnacentral:rRNA from 1 species